UACGAGCACACACUUUGCGUUAUAAGUUGCGAUAAAUAACGAAGGUUUGCGAAGAAUAUCGCAGGAACCAGCAACGUGAUUACGAACACAUCCUGUUUCGUUAAACUUCGAAUAUUGAUGACGUUGUGGCGGUAUAUAUCGCAAACUUUGAUUACGAGCACACUUUUCAAGUGAUAUUUAUCGCACCGUAGCUACGUUAUAUAUCACGAGCAUUUCAACUGGUGAUACGAAGCGAAUGUGAGGUUCUACACAAUGGCCUUUGCUGCCUUUCUGCUAGCUAUCGAACUGGAGGAGAAGGCAGAGAAGAUUGUUAAGAAACCAUCAAAAUCCCUUCGAAUUGCCAGAUUGCACCCUCAUAGCAGUUGGAAAACCUUAGAAAAUGAAGAAACAUGAAGAAACGAGCUAUGCAAUUUAAUAAAUACUUUGUUAUCAAGUUUGUUGCAUUUAUUAAAGAAAUUGUGAAAAUAA